rnacentral:sRNA from 1 species
AAAUCUAUGAUUGGGGCUGGGGUGGGGUCAGGGAUUGGCUGCAAAGGGGCAUGAGGGAUCUUUCUGGUGCAGUGGAAGUUCUAUAUUUUGCUUGUGGUCCUGGCUACAUGGAUGUAAAGUCUGGUGUCUCUGCACUGAUACUUUGCACCUCUGAGCGUCAGUUUCCCUGUUUGUCAAACUAGAAGGCCAUUGGAUUAGAUGAUGUCUAGAAUUUCUUCUGGCUCAGAAAUGUCUCCUGUCAUGAAAACCUACCACAUGUACCAUGCAGAGAGCAUCAGUGCAGAAAGCAAGCUGAAGGAGGCUGAGAAGCAGGAGGAGAAGCAGUUCAAUAAGUCAGGAGACCUCAGCAUGAACCUGCUCCGGCACGAGGACCGGCCCCAGCGCCGCAGCUCUGUGAAGAAGAUUGAGAAGAUGAAGGAGAAGAGGCAGGCUAAGUACUCUGAGAACAAGCUGAAAUGCACAAAGGCCCGGAAUGACUACUUGCUCAAUCUGGCAGCCACCAACGCAGCUAUAAGCAAAUACUACAUCCAUGACGUCUCCGAUCUGAUCGAU